GGUUCCAUAGUGUAGCGAUUAGCACAUCUGCUUUACACACCGAAGGUCCUGGGUUCACGACCCAGUGGAGCCA
rnacentral:tRNA from 1 species